rnacentral:rRNA from 1 species
GCGAAAGCCUGACGGAGCAAGACCGCGUGAGGGAAGACGGCCUACUGGUUGUAAACCUCUUUUGAUAGGGAAGAACACAAUGACGGUACCUAUCGAAUCAGCCUCGGCUAACUCCGUGCCAGCAGCCGCGGUAAUACGGAGGAGGCAAGCGUUAUCCGGAAUUAUUGGGCGUAAAGCGUCCGUAGGUGGAUAUUCAAGUCAGUUGUUAAAGCGUGGAGCUUAACUCCAUAAAGGCAAUUGAAACUGAAUGUCUAGAGUGCGAUAGGGGCAAGGGGAAUUCCCAGUGUAGCGGUGAAAUGCGUAGAUAUUGGGAAGAACAUCGGUGGCGAAAGCGCCUUGCUGGGUCUGCACUGACACUGAGGGACGAAAGCUAGGGGAGCGAAUGG